ensembl:lncRNA
UGACACAGCGGUGAGGCCAGGCCGCCUGGUGAAUAGACAAUCAACUGACAGACCACCGGAGCAGCUGCCCCCUCGCCCAGGAAUAGAUGGACAGACGAACAUACAAUAACCCAGGAGACCUUCAUGGGAUAUACAUUUAGAUAUUCUGAUCUAUUCCCUCCACUGAAGCAUUUCAAGAAUGCUGUCUCUCUCUGCAUGGGUGGGUACGAGAAAAAUGAUCCGUCGUUUCAGGCGGGCAGCUGUUUCCACCGACAGCUGCAUCCCCAGCCCUUCCAACAGAGCAGAGAUUACGAAAUCAAGCCAAUGUUGUAUUUCAGUUUAUCCAUUCUCCUUCUCCUUCUCCUGCUCCUAAACAGGCCAAUCGGGGAGCAGCCAUGUCGUGUUGGAGGCCAACAGCACUACGAUGGAAAGAAGAUACAGGGCCAACGUUUUUUUUUUUUUUCUUUCUAAAGACAACAGCUCCAAAUCCUAGCAACGAGGCGCAGUUGGAUUUAAAGCAUUAUUGUGUCCAGGGCUGGUGAGAAGCCAUGUAAUCUCAGUGGCACAGAAUUUUUUCCAUAUCUUCUCCCGGGAGGCAUGUGGACUCGUAAAGCCCGGCUGGCGACACCGUGGCAUCCAGCAGAGGUUUGACACUUAGCUCCAGCUAUGCCUUCUAUGUGGAGAUACACGGCACACACGCGCCCGGGCUCUGGCCCAGUGUGUAACGACGCAACAAGGAUGCCACUAUAGCAAGCAUCGAAAAAUAUAAAUGAAUUUGUAUGAAGACACACACAUACACUUUCGUACCUCGCGAUGACUCACUCACUCACUCACUUACAUUAAACACACAUACACAUGCACACAAGCACUCAUUCAUUCACAUGCACACAAGCACACACACGUUAAAGUCAACGUAACACACACACACACACACACACACACACACACAAACACAAACUUAAAAGAGAUUUACGCACACAAAUACACACACA